AUUGAACGCUGGCGGCAGGCUUAACACAUGCAAGUCGAACGAGUGGCGGACGGUUGAGUAAUGCUUGGGAAUCUGGCUUAUGGAGGGGGAUAACGACGGGAAACUGUCGCUAAUACCGCGUACCAUAGGAUGAGCCCAAGUGGGAUUAGGUAGUUGGUGGGGUAAUGGCCUACCAAGCCGACGAUCUCUAGCUGGUCUGAGAGGAUGACCAGCCAGGACGGGACUGAGACACGGCCCGGACUCCAACGGGAGGCAGCAGUGGGGAAUAUGGCGCAUGGGGGGCAACCUGAUGGAGCAAUGCCGCGUGAAUGAAGAAGCCCUUCGGGUUGUAAGGUUAUUUCGGUGACGAGGCGUUAAUCACAGAAGAAGCACCGGCUAACUCCGUGCCAGCCGCCGCGGUAAUAC
rnacentral:rRNA from 1 species